AAUUUAUUAAUUUAAAAUUUAGAAUUACUUUAAAUUUUUAAAAUUUGGAUACAUAUUAAAAAAAUUAAUUUUAGAAAAAAUUUAACUGAUAAAUAGAUUUAUACCAUCAAUAAAUAUUUAAAUUUAAAAUAUAAAUAUAAAUUUAAUUUAAUUAAAUGUUACGUGCAUUUGCACGUGCACUAUAACUAGUAUAUAUAAAAGCGUAUAGAAAUUCCGACAAUGACAGACGGAAUCCAAAAAGGAAGAAUAUUCCCUACAAAUGGUCAUAAUCAGUUUGUUAAAAAGUAUCUUAAGUAUAAUAUAUGAACGGUUAUGAUCGACCUAUUAAAUCUCUACUAUAUAUAAAAAUCUAUUCCCUAUAAUUGGUUAUGAUCAAUUUGUUAAAAAAAUAUCUAAAAGAAGAAUAAUUAUAAUCAAUCUAUUAAAAAAUAACAUUUCUAUCCAUCUAUAAAUUCAAUCAUACGAACGAUUAUAAUCAAUUUGUUAAAAAAUAUCUCAAAUAAAAAUAAAUGGUUAUNUUUAACGGUAUGGAUCAUUGAUUUGAACGCCCUAAGAUCGAAAACAAAUACUAUAGUACCGAAGCUCGGUACUAUAGAUAGUAUAGUAGCCUAAUUCUAUAUAUAUAUUUGCUUUUUAUAUCCGUAUCUAAAACUAUCUACUUAGCAUCAGUUAAAUCUGCUACGUUCGGAUUUGGCUUCAAAUAAAAGUUUCGAGUAUCCGUCUAUGAUGUCCUUAAAUAGACUUGGUUGGUUAAUUAAUGGUUAACUAGUGUAAUUGCUCGCGCAUUGCAGCGGAUAUAUAUUGAUCAAGUGAGAAUUCGAAGUAAUAUUCUACAAUAUUAUAAAAAAGAUAAGGAAUUAGAGACAUAUCUUUUCAAAUUUAUUUAGUUAGUUGAAAUAGUACAGUCACACAAACUUUAUAGUGAUUAAAUUCUAUUAUAAAACUAAAAAUAUUUAGGCUUCGUUUGGGAUUGCGUGGAGAUUGCAUUACGUGCGGUGAGAAACGACGAUGGAAAAAUAUUUUCGUACGUAAUAUUGCGUUCCGUAUAUUGCGGUUAGUCAGUUACGAUAUAUUUUAUGCAGUUCCAUCGAGAACGCAGAAGCAUAUCCCUAUAUGCUUUUUCUCAACUCCAUUCUAUCUAAUAGCGUUAGAUCCACCUCAAUACCAAACUAAGCCUUAAUCUACUAAGCAAACAGGAAAUAAAAUGUACGAGGAAAAUUAAUAUUAUUUGCUUGCCGUAGAGAUUUGGUCCAUAUUCAAACCACGGGCAACAAUCAUGGGUAGAAGAAACAGAAAAAAAUGAAGAAAAAAGAAAAAAAAAAAAAAACCAGCCAAUUUGAGGAGAAAAAAUUAAAAAAAUCUGUGGAGAAUAUUACUUUCAUAUAUUGUUGAUGAAAUGAUAUAACUUAUUUAUUGUGAAUAAAAUAGAUUAUAUAUUAUAAUCAAUAUAAGGCUUUUCAAAGCAUUUCUCUUUUUCUAAAACUCUAACUACUAUAAUACAUCUCUCAAAUUAUUCCAUCGUUCCUCUUUUAUUUUAAAAAAUUCAAAUCACUAUAAUAACACAUUUUACAUUUAAUAAUUAAAUAAAAAAGAAAAAAUAAACGUACAU
rnacentral:lncRNA from 1 species